rnacentral:rRNA from 1 species
CCUACGGGGGGCAGCAGUGGGGGAUAUUGCACAAUGGGGGAAACCCUGAUGCAGCGACGCCGCGUGUGGGAAGACGGUCUUCUGGAUUGUAAACCACUGUCCCCAGGGACGAAAAUGACGGUACCUGGGGAGGAAGCUCCGGCUAACUACGUGCCAGCAGCCGCGGUAAUACGUAGGGAGCAAGCGUUGUCCGGAAUUACUGGGUGUAAAGGGAGCGUAGGCGGGGAUGCAAGUUGGGUGUCAAAACUACCGGCUCAACCGAUAGUCGCACUCAAAAUUGCAGCUCUUGAGUGAAGUAGAGGCAGGCGGAAUGCGUAGUGUAGCGGUGAACUGCUUAGAUAUUAGGAGGAACACCAGUGGCGAAGGCGGCCUGCUGGGCUUUUACUGACGCUGAGGCUCGAAAGUGUGGGGAGCAAACAGGAUUAGAUACCCGGGUAGUC